UUUUAAGUUAUUUUCAUCUUAUUGAUAACUAAACCUGUUAACGAAGUUCAGUAAAUUCCUGGGAAGCCUCUUAAGACAACAGCCAAACUGAACAUUUUUAUC